rnacentral:lncRNA from 10 species
CUGUGGAGAUGCAAGAGCUCCAGUAGGAAAAGUUAAAAUGGGUUAUGCUGGAGUGAGACCAAAAGAAGAGUGAAGUGCAAUGGAAAUGAAGAGGCAAAUGAAGAGGAGGAGGUCACAUCAGGAAGCUGGGCAGCUUUACUGGCCAUCAGGCUGGACUCAGAGAGGGAGAUGGGACAGUUUGAACCAGCAAUGUGAUGUAAUAUGGGGACAGUGAUAAGUGAAGAAAAUCCCAGGGCUUUGUCAGCCAUCUUUUUUGACAGGAGAAAUAGAGAGAGGCUAGAAAGUAAAAUGACCAGGAAAAAAAAAGCCAGACAUGGCUGAGGAAAGACAAGAGUUACAGUGGAAAGCUGGAAAGCAGCAGACCUUGCCAAGCUCCCCAAAGGCCUGAUGAGUUUGUCUUCACAUUUUCGGAGAUGUAUCCAUGCACACACCUGGGGUAUGUGGGGGAAAGUGCUCCCUAAUUAUGUCAUUUUCUGCAGUUGCUCACAAGAUCUUUGCAUCAGGCAUGGUACUUCCAUGCCUUUCAGACAGGAA